GUGUUUGUACUGGGGGUCUAAAUACGUUGCCACCAAGUACUUGUCCUUGCCCUUUAUGCUUUUUAUACGGGGGUCCCUCUUCAAACACUGGAGCAUGAAGGCCCCCAUUUGCACUAAAUUGGAAGCGGUGGAGCGCCCUGGCUCCUGCUCAUCGCACAGGAGAAUG